rnacentral:ncRNA from 1 species
UCUGAAAGUUUUAUUCUUGCUUUUUUAUUCACUUUUUCUUUAUAUUAUAUGUAAGUUUGGUAAAACUGAAUGUUCAAUUUGCAGUGAUUUAAUUUAUUAAUCAAGUGAUUUUGGAAUUAGUAAUUGAUUAAGUAUUUGCAUAAUUCGUGCCAGCAGCUGCGGUUAUACGAUUAAUACAAGUGAAUAUUAUUGGUUUAAUAGUUAUUUAUAUUUUGAGUUAAACAAUUUUUUUGUAGGGUGAAAUCUAAAAAUUUUUUAUGACUCUUUUUAUGGAUCUUUGAAACUUGAACUAUAAACUAGGAUUAGAUACCCUAUUAUUCUAAGUGUUAAUUAUACUUACCGGGGUAGUAUUAGUUAAAUCUUUAAACCCAUAGAAUUUGGCGGUAUUUUAUUCUAUUCAGAGGAACCUAUUCCGUAAUUGAUAAUACACGAUUAACUUUACUUAAUUUAUUAUUUGUUUGUAUAUCUCCGUUAUCAGAAGAUCUUUUUAGGGUUGUAAUUUUCUUAAUUUAUAAUUGUAGAUUAUUUCAGGUCAAGGUGCAGCUUAUUUAAGGUGAGAAUGGGUUACAUUAUAUAUAUAUAAUGGAUUUUUUAUUGAAAAAUAUUAAUGAAGGUGGAUUUGAUAGUAAUUUAAUUAAUUUUAUUUAUUUGAUAUUAGCUCUAAAAUGUGUACACAUCGCCCGUCGCUCUCGUUUUUGAUUCUAGAUUUAGUGUUUUAAGAUUAGAUGAGAUAAGUCGUAACAUAGUAGAUGUACUGGAAAGUGUAUCUAGUAAGAU